CUCCUACGGGGGGCAGCAGUGAGGAAUAUUGGUCAAUGGGCGGAAGCCUGAACCAGCCAAGUCGCGUGAGGGAAUAAGGCCCUACGGGUCGUAAACCUCUUUUGCCGGGGAGCAAGGGCCGGGACGCGUCCCGGCCCGGAGAGUACCCGGAGAAAAAGCAUCGGCUAACUCCGUGCCAGCAGCCGCGGUAAUACGGAGGAUGCGAGCGUUAUCCGGAUUUAUUGGGUUUGAAGGGUGCGUAGGCGGGCUUUUAAGUCAGCGGUAAAAAUUCGGGGCUCAACCCCGUCCGGCCGUUGCAACUGGGG
rnacentral:rRNA from 1 species